UUUAGAAACCAGUAAAUUUAAGUAAGUUUAUAUCUUUUAAUAGCUUAAAAUAAGACAUUUUUGUCAUUAAAAGUCCUGUAUUUUUUGCAGAAAUCCUUACAUACUUCACUCAGAGAAGUUAAGGGAUCAUUUUAAUAGAAUAAACAGGUAAAGCAUACUUUACAUUGUAUCUUUGUAUUUUAGUUUAUAUACAUAAUGUCUAGAAGAAGAAAUGAUCUGGGCACUAUACAUUUUUUACUUUAACUUUAUUAGUUUUUAUGAUAGAUUUUAAAUUCCCCCUCUUCCAAAAGUUUACAUUGUUCCUUGUAAAUGAAGUGUUAUUUUGUCUUCCACACCACUGUGUGGUGGGAGACAUAUUGAUUUACUCCUGUCCAUCUUUCUGUGUGUUUGUCUGUCCGUCUGUCACAAAUCUUGUCCGCACUCUCAGUCGAACAUUUCUCAUCAAAUCUUCACUAAACUUGAACAAAAUGUGUUUGCCGAUAAGUCCUCGGCCAAGUUCGAUAACUAGCCAAAUUAGCCCAGGCACUUCGGAAUUAUGGCACUUGAAUUACCGAAAAUUGCUUAGGUCUUGGUGCAUAAAUGACUCGUAUACUACUUUUCAGAUGGUGCAUAAAUGACUUGUAUACUACUUUUCAGAUGAUUAGGCAGUUGAGGUCUUAGUGCAUGGUUGACUCAUAUACAACUAUUCAGAUGAUUAGGCAGUUGUGGGAGACAUGCGCUUUUUUCAGAAGCAGCUCUAGUUCUUUUUGUUUUACAGUAAUAUUGGCCUAAAUAUGGAUAUAAAUACAAUUUGUCAGAUAUAUUUGACAAAAGAAAAAUGAUGGGAAAACAGCUAAACACAUGCCCAUACUUGAUCUCACUAUAAUUUUGAAAGAAUAUUAGUCCCGUCUUUGUUACAGAAUGUUUGAUUCACGUUUUAAGGCUUUUCUUUAAUUUCUUUCUAAAUAAUUUAUGAAUAUAUUGACAUUAGUAUCUUGCUGCAGAACUUGAAAGGUGGAGAAACAAACUUUAAUUUUCCGAAUAUACAAAAUGAUUUUAGAUACAUGAUAGAAAGUCUCAUUUAGAUGGGGAUAUUUUUAUGCGGCCAGUAUUGUAGAUCUGGGAGGCAUAAAGUGAUUGAACUGUCAAUAUGUCAGUUCACCCAGCUGAGUAUACAUCAUCAACAUGAAGUGGACAUGUGCUUUUUAUCAGGACUUUGUUGUCUAAUUAUUUUGUUCAAAUUAUGCCCCAUUUUUGGACAAUGUUGCAACUUUUUUUUGUACAUUGUUUACUCAGUUCCAUUCAACAUCCAUUCACUGCCAUGGAAACAUGUUGUACGUACUUAAUAUGAAGUGGACUUACACAUAAUUUUGAGACUCAAUUGUCCACAAUUUGUUCUUGUGUUAUGCCCAUUUUUGUACUUAACAAUAUUAGAGCUCAUUUUCACCUUGUGUACUCAACUUCUUCUUGAGUUUCUGUCAAAUCCAAUUGAAACUUAGUAAUGUAUACGUCAUUAAGAUAAAGUGGACAUGCCCAUAUUGUUGAGACUUUAAUGUCUAAUUACCGGUACUUUUCAUGGAUUUAGUCCUUUUUGACUUGUUAUGUAAUGCUGUCAUGCAUUUUCAGUUGGUAUUUUUCAUAGUGUUGUAACUUUUGUACUGCUUUAUGAAAUUUAUUGGCUUAAAUCCUCAGCGGUAUAUAUAAUUUUCAUUGUAUUUAAAAAGUAAAUAAACUUCUGCUAUUUUUGAAAGGACAUUUAAAUGUCUUAACAAAUAACACUAAUGAUAAUGCUUAGUGCUACAAAAAGUUACAGGUCAUUGAAAUAAAGGAAAUAAAAUAUUACUUUGGAUGGUAAAUUUAUUUAAUGUUGACUCCAAAAUUGUUUAUUUUUUCUCUUAAAGUUUCAUAGGCUUGAAUUUAAUGUAGGGAUUUUCCUAUGAAAAGUCUCUUUAGGCGGUAAGUUUGAAUGAUUAAAGAUAUCUUCGAAAGUCAUGGAAGGUUUAUUACCACAGAACUCCUUUGAAACUAUGUAUAACUUUUUUAGGCUCUUACAAAAUGAUGAAAUAAUUUACAAAAAGUUCUGAUACAGAAAUGGGGAAUUAAACAGCUUUAGAUUUGGCCUAAUCUGCUUUAUAUAUUGUGUAUGAGUUGUAUAGGGUAGUAAGGUAACUGAAAAAACUCAGUUUUCUAGCCUCACAUUUUAUAAUGCAUUGUUCACUUUUCUUUAUAAAAAAAGCAGAAAAUAAUCCUAUAUUUUAGUACAAAAAAGACCAUUACAUGACCUGUUAAUAAAGGUUUUGUUCUUAAAUCAAAUUAUCAUAAUCAGUUCAUUAUUGUUUCAGGGUCAUUCAAACAGUGAUUGUUGUUUUGCAGUCAAGUAACAGAACUACAUAUAUCUCAUUUGUACCAAAUUCUAUUCUAUAUCAGUGAGUCAGGGUGCUUUAUUGUAUCAGAACUGUGUAAUAUACUAGUCAAAAGUAAAAUUAUAGUGACUUCUA